rnacentral:rRNA from 1 species
AACGCGAAGAACCUUACCUGGGCUCGAAAUGCUACGGACCAGCUUAUGAAAGUUUGCCUUCCCGCAAGGGACCGUAGUAUAGGUGCUGCAUGGCUGUCGUCAGCUCGUGUCGUGAGAUGUUGGGUUAAGUCCCGCAACGAGCGCAACCCUUGUCCUGUGUUGCCAUACCGAAAGGUGGAACUCGCAGGAGACCGCCAGCGAUAAGUUGGAGGAAGGUGGGGAUGAUGUCAAGUCAUCAUGGCCUUUAUGUCCAGGGCUACACACGUGCUACAAUGGUCGGUACAAAGCGCUGCAAACCCGCGAGGGGGAGCUAAUCGCAAAAAGCCGGCCUCAGUUCGGAUUGCAGGCUGCAACUCGCCUGCAUGAAGCUGGAAUCGCUAGUAAUGCCGUAUCAGAACGAUGGCGUGAAUACGUUCCCGGGCCUUGUACACACCGAGACGUA